AAAUAGGCUUGCGUGAGCGAUAGAAACGAUAUCCUUUUUGCUUUUUCUGCAAAAAGAUAAAGUGAAUAGCGCAGUUUUUG
rnacentral:sRNA from 1 species